GGGAACCCAAAGUACGUGGCUGGAAUUGGAAAAAGCCAGCCGUUGCAUCAUCAUCCGUAGCACCAUGAUCAUCCAUAUCUGAGAGGUUGUCAUCCGCGUCAUCAGAAUGAUCACAUGAUAGAGAAACCUUAUAAGGUAAGAUAAACGUAAAUGUAGAACCGCAAUGCACUUGGCUGGACACAGUAAGACGGCCGCCCAUUAACUCAACCUGUAGCGAAGGCAAGGAAUGUUAGGACUUAGUUUUGUACUAGCAAGAGUAUCAAUCGAAUCUCUGCAAAAAUCAACAACUUAAAUCUUUCAAGUAAAAUGAAAAUAUGCUUAAAAUAUAUAGAUUUACAAACUUCCCAACUUUUCAAUGAUCUGGAAUUUAGCAUUGUUGAGAGUAAUGAGCUGUAAGUAAACACUGCAGAUAUUUUGGCACGUGAAGAGCAGCAGUGUCUUAAAAAGGAACUAGAAGAUGUUGAAAACUUGGAAAGAAUCUAUUUUUAUUCUAAUAUCAAAUUAUAUGCUUUUCUUCACUGCAAAACUAGGAUAGUUAGUUAAACUAGACCUACUGAGAUUUAUAUCAUAAUUAUCUGAUCUGCUAAACUGUUUCUUUAAGCAGAAGCAAGAAGAGGGAAGGCAAAUUGUAUCAAUUGUGGCGGGGGAAAACAUUAUUGUUGAUGGAAGGAAGAAUUCACCAGCUGUUUACAUAUUGCGAGGCCAAGUCCUGUCCCACCGUACUUACGGGCAUGAUCGGCACUGACUUGCAUGUACUUCUUAAAAAGUGUGGGUAAAGCAUUUUCUGUCACAGCACAGGAGAUAUCAAGUUCUAACAAAACCUCUGAUUUCUUGUGAUAAUGCAAAUGAUUAAAGAAAAGCAUAUUCAUGUACCAGGUAUGCCAAUUCCAGUGUCAUAUACAUCACAGCGAAUCCAAACUGUUGUUUCAGGUAAUUCUGCUUGCUCCUCGGUUACAUCUAUUGUUCCAUUCGUUACUGGCGUACCACGUUCACUUUGUGAACGGUCUUGGCAAGAACCUUCGUGUUUCUUACCAUGAAAUCCUCUCUGGUCACUGCUAGUUUGAGACGUUGAUGUACAUGUCUCUUCUUUUGGUACAUUAG
rnacentral:lncRNA from 1 species